rnacentral:rRNA from 1 species
AUGGAUGGGGGGACGAGCCACACAAGCCCUCGUGAAUCGCAAGCCCACUUGGCGCGGCUGUGUGUGAAGAAAGCCCCCUUAUCGGUGAUUGUAAAAGCCACUUUUUACAGCUACGAGAGAGGAGAAAGGCUUAGGUAGUUAAUCUUCGUGAGUAUGAUGUGGACGUUACCUGACCAAGAAAGAAAGGCACGGUCUAAUCUCUGUGCCCAGGCAGCCCGCGGGUAAAUUACCAGAGGGGUGGCGAGCUGUUAAUCGGAUUUUACUGGGCGUAAAGGCGUGCGUCAGGGCGGGUUGUUAAGUCGAGAUGUGAAAAGCCCCGAGCUUAAACCUGGGAAUUGCUUUUGAUAACUGGGCAAGACUAGAGUUUGGAUAGAGGGGUGGUAGAAUUCCCAGGGUGUAGGGGGUGAAAAUGCGUAGAGAUCUGAAGGAAUUCCCGAUGGGGAAAGGCACCCCUCUGGGGUAAACACUGACGUUCAUGUACGAAAGCGGGGGGACCAAACAGGUUUAGAUCCCUGGGUAUCCCACCCCUUAAACAAUGUUUAUUACGAGUGGGGCUUUUGGGACAUUUUUUCCACAGCUAACGCAUUAAGUAGACCGCCUGGGAAGUACGGUCGCAAGGUUAAAACUCAAAUGAAUUGACGGGGGCCCGCACAAGCGGUGGAGCAUGUGGUUUAAUUCGAUGCAACGCGAAGAACCUUACCUGCCCUUGACAUACAGGAAACUUUCCAGAGAUGGUUUGGUGCCUUCGGGAAUUUUGAUACAGGUGCUGCAUGGCUGUCGUCAGCUCGUGUUGUGAGAUGUUGGGUUAAGUCCCGCAACGAGCGCAACCCUUUUCCUUAGUUGCCAGCGAUUCGGUCGGGAACUUUAAGGAGACUGCCAGUGACAAACCGGAGGAAGGUGGGGACGACGUCAAGUCAUCAUGGCCCUUACGUGCAGGGCUACACACGUGCUACAAUGGCAGGUACAAAGGGCUGCUACCUAGCGAUGUGGAGCUAAUCUCAAAAAGCCGAUCGUAGUCCGGAUUGGAGUCUGCAACUCGACUCCAUGAAGUCGGAAUCGCUAGUAAUCGCGGAUCAGAAAGCCGCGGUGAAUACGUUUCCGGGCCUCGUACACACCGCCGGUCACGCCACGGGAGUUGGAUCAACAGACGUUCCAGUGAUAGCACAUGGGAAGAGAUGCAACCAGCGGGAUGA